AUUAAAUGUCACCCUUGUACACAUGUGUUAUGCUUGGUUUUCAACAGGUCUUACUAUUAUCAACCAUUUUUUGAUGGGAUGCCUACCUCAUCUACUGCACAGCCCUAAAUUCUAGAUGCACCUGAAAUUCUGCUAGAAAUUUUUCUUCAGCGUCUCAUCUGAGUAUGCUCAUAAUGACCCAAGUCCUAAUACAGUCAGGCAGCUCAAUUCCUACUCCCAGCUACAUCCUGGAAUGAAGAAAGUAUUGCUUUAUACUCUCUUCCACUACAUGUGAUACAGUAGGAGUUCUCUGAGAAGAAAGAAGACAGACAGCAAGAGAAGGGAAAGUAAAGUGAACAGCAUGAUCUGAACCAAAAUUUCCACCUCCCUGAGGAAAACUUUAGUCACCAGCAAAGUCUUACCUCUGAGGUUUUUCCACCAGAAAAGAGAAGUUCAGUCUGGCCCACAAUUUUUAUCCCAUCCCUGCUGGAACUAAACUCACUGACUACAAAUAUCAUCCUGGUUGAAGAAGGAAGACUGAAAAGUGACAUCAGAUUUAUUUCUAGGUUUUAAAUCAACAUUUUAAUCUGUUUUGUGCCUCUCUCAUUUUUGCAGUGAUUGUAUUAAGUUUAUCAUUCUGUACAUUUCUUCCUGAAAACUCCCUCACUGGGUUUUGCAAAUACUAGGGAAACAUUUCUUUUUUCUUAAGGGAGAAUUAGUCCACCCCCUUCCCCCCCAUUUUGGGAAGAGCACAGUCAUGUGGGAACUGAUUGCUAUCCACUGAAAGGAUGUGUUCACUCAGAAUUAAUAUAGCUUUAUUUAAUUUAUGACAUCACAUAACACGAUAAAUUAUGAAUUAAAAA
rnacentral:lncRNA from 1 species